rnacentral:rRNA from 1 species
AGUGAACGCUGGCGGUAGGCCUAACACAUGCAAGUCGAACGGCAGCACAGUAAGAGCUUGCUCUUACGGGUGUCGAGUGGCGGACGGGUGAGGAAUACAUCGGAAUCUACUUUUUCGUGGGGGAUAACGUAGGGAAACUUACGCUAAUACCGCAUACGACCUACGGGUGAAAGCAGGGGAUCUUCGGACCUUGCGCGAUUGAAUGAGCCGAUGUCGGAUUAGCUAGUUGGCGGGGUAAAGGCCCACCAAGGCGACGAUCCGUAGCUGGUCUGAGAGGAUGAUCAGCCACACUGGAACUGAGACACGGUCCAGACUCCUACGGGAGGCAGCAGUGGGGAAUAUUGGACAAGGGGCGCAAGCCUGAUCCAGCCAUACCGCGUGGGUGAAGAAGGCCUUCGGGUUGUAAAGCCCUUUUGUUGGGAAAGAAAAGCAGCAGGUUAAUACCCCGCUGUUCUGACGGUACCCAAAGAAUAAGCACCGGCGAACUUCGU